rnacentral:rRNA from 1 species
CUAGUAAUGCCGUAUCAGCUACGACGGCGUGAAUACGUUCCCGGGCCUUGUACACACCGCCCGUCACAUCAUGGAAGUCACUUGUAGCCGAAGUGCGCGCGCCAACUCGAGCAAUCGAGGAGCAGCGCCCUACGCUAUGAGCGGUAACUGGGAUGAAGUCGUAACAAGGUAGCCGUAGGGGAACCUGCGGCUGGAUCACCUCCUUUCUAAGGA